UGGGGAAUAUUGGACAAUGGGCGAAAGCCUGAUCCAGCCAUGCCGCGUGUGUGAAGAAGGUCUUCGGAUUGUAAAGCACUUUAAGUUGGGAGGAAGGGCAGUAAGCGAAUACCUUGCUGUCUUGACGUUACCGACAGAAUAAGCACCGGCUAACUCUGUGCCAGCAGCCGCGGUAAUACAGAGGGUGCAAGCGUUAAUCGGAAUUACUGGGCGUAAAGCGCGCGUAGGUGGUUCGUUAAGUUGAAUGUGAAAGCCCCGGGCUCAACCUGGGAACGGGAUCCAAAACUGGCGAACUAGAGGAGGGCAGAGGGUGGUGGAAUUUCCUGUGUAGCGGGGAAAUGCGUAGGUAUAGGAGGGAACACCAGUGGCGGAGGCGACCACCUGGGCUCAUACUGACACUGAGGUGCGAAAGCGUGGGGAGCAAACAGG
rnacentral:rRNA from 1 species